GUGAAUCAUCGAAUUUUUGAACGCAAAUUGCACUCUCCGGUUUUCCGGGAGAGUAUGCCUGUUUGAGGGUCUGUUUAAUAAAUAAUCGAGUCUGCUGCGGUUUUGGCGCUUCGGAAUUGGGUCAUCUUCCACCUUUCUUGGGUUUAGGCGACCUAAAAUUUUUCUGACGAUUUUUACGAACGUUUCUAUGAAUCUUUCUUGUACGUUCGCGACAUCGAAUUCAUAUUAUCGUCG
rnacentral:misc_RNA from 1 species